rnacentral:rRNA from 1 species
AGAGUUUGAUCAUGGCUCAGGACGAACGCUGGCGGCGUGCUUAACACAUGCAGUCGAACGGUGACCUUGGGAGCUUGCUUCCGAGGAAACAGUGGCGAACGGGUGAGUAACCGUGAGUAACCUGCCCCUGACUCUGGAAUAAGCGCUGGAAACGGCGUCUAAUACCGGAUAGAGACUCCGCCGCAUGGUGAGUGUCUGGAAAGUUUUUCGGUCUGGGAUGGACUCGCGGCCAUCAGCUUGUUGGUGAGGUAAUGGCUCACCAAGGCGGUGACGGGUAGCCGGCCUGAGAGGCGAUCGGCCACACUGGGACUGAGACACGGCCCAGACUCCUACGGGAGGCAGCAGUGGGGAUAUUGCACAAUGGGCGAAAGCCUGAUGCAGCGACGCCGCGUGAGGGAUGACGGCCUUCGGUUGUAAACCUCUUUCAGCAGGGAAGAAGCGCAAGUGACGGUACCUGCAGAAGAAGCACCGCUAACUACGUGCCAGCAGCCGCGGUAAUACGUAGGGUGCGAGCGUUGUCCGGAAUUAUUGGCGUAAAGAGCUUGUAGGCGGUUUGUCGCGUCUGCUGUGAAAAUCCGGGGCUCAACCCCGACUUGCAGUGGGUACGGGCAGACUAGAGUGUGGUAGGGGAGACUGGAAUUCCUGGUGUAGGGUGAAAUGCGCAGAUAUCAGGAGGAACACCGAUGGCGAAGGCAGGUCUCUGGGCCACUAUGACGCUGAGAAGCGAAAGCAUGGGGAGCGAACAGGAUUAGAUACCCUGGUAGUCCAUGCGUAAACGUUGGGAACUAGGUGUGGGUCUCAUUCCACGAGAUCCGUGCCGCAGCUAACGCAUAAGUUCCCCGCCUGGGGA